GACGGCAAUAGAGCGAGAACUGAGUCCCCGGGUGGCUCCGCGGCCGGCGAGCCUCCUCCUGUGGCGGCCGCUGGCGGGACGCUGAAGCGACGGCUGUGGCGCGGGGCCAGCCCGGUGAGGAGCACGGAGACCUUAACAGAAAACCGCCAAGCAGGCCGAAGCAGUGACUCAACGUUCCCAUUCCCAGCUUUGGGGGUCAGAUCCGGAACCCUGCCCGCCCUCCACCCUUCCUCUUCACUUAAGGACAUGCCCUAGACUCCAGAGAGAACAUAUAUGCCUCUGGUGCUAAACCAUCAGGGAAUAUGAAAGUUAAUAGGCUACAUGUUCACAGAGAGCUUGCUACACUAAACCAGUUUCAAAGGCAGAGCUGCAAGGAGGCAUAAAGAAUGAGGCGCCCUCUGAGUCUAGGGAGUCGGUACUUCUUGCAUAGCCACCCAGACCGACCCUGCAGCUCCCCCGAGCUCACAAAGGUGUGAAUAUUCAGCCAAUCUCUUCUUUGCUUUAGUGUGUUAAAUAAAGGCUUUGGCAUCUUCCAUUGAGUAAAACGCAAUGUUCUGCUUUUGUACCCCUGGAUGGCGGGUAAAGCCACACCUGCAAAAAGAAGUCUGGUUGUCUGUAAAAAUACAAAUGACCACAAUUAGGUUGUCUCCUGCUUGCCUGAGGUGCAAGUUAGUAACCCAGAAAAUGUAAAACAAGAAGCCUCAUAGAACUUGCAACAAAUUUUUUUUUAAAAAAGAAAAAAAAGUCACCGUGUGAGAUGAUCUGUAAAUGUGUUACAGAGGCCAGAGUAGCUCCCAGAUUUCAUCAGUGAAAUAAGUCAUCUGUACCUUCAGUGUCACAUGCCUAGUUGAUGCUGUCAUAAAGGAAGGGUGGGGUCCAUAAAGAAUCUAGAACCAGCAGAAUCUGAAUAAGAAUGUAUUGUGGGCUUCCACUCUGUCCAGGAGAGAGGCUACUGAUUCUAAUGACCAGGAUCAAUACCUAUUAUCAGGACAGAGCACCUUGGAAAGCAGAGAAGACUAUGGAAACACCCCUCCCUCAUUCCCAUGUAGUCGUGCUAUCUUCAGAAGGGGUUACUUGGAUCCACUGGUCUAUCAGUUCAAGCCUCAAACCAUGAAGAAGUUUUGCUACUUAAAUGCAAGUUUCUCCUGCCCAUCUAGACCUAAGACAUGCUUGGCUCUUCUUAACUCUGAUAUUGGAUCUAGACAAGUAACCAACUCACAGAGUGGCUGAGAGAUUCACACCAGCACCCUUUUUUUUUAAUUGUUUUCAAAUGUAAAAAUAAUAUGUAAUAUUGGGAAUAUUCGUAACAUUUAGCAGAAUAAAGAAUAGGGGCGCCUGG